CUCAGGUGGGCAGCUGUG
rnacentral:miRNA from 1 species